rnacentral:sRNA from 2 species
GCCCGGUACCCGCACAACUCACCCGUGAACGGCAGGAGCGGGGGACCCACAGGUAUCACCGCCUGUUCCGGUCUCCGGAACGGCUUGGGGUAAAGCCGCGUCAAACGCGCGGCCGGGCAUCUCCAGCUCGCACCCGACAGCUCACCUCGUAGGCGCCGGAGAGGAAUU